AUUGUGGAAUAAUCUCUCUCACAGGUCGAAACACACACUAUUGAGUGGAAAUCUCCUUCUGAAGAUUGGUUCGAGAAGAAAGGCUAUUCGUAAAAACCAUGAGAAAGCAAAAACCACCAAACGGAGCCAAAAACCGGGUUGCACCUCCCCAUUAAAAGGAAGUACGGUGUCUUCGAAAUCGGAACGAAAAAUUAGUAAUUGGAAGAAGAUUUAGAAGAUCGAAAGAGAUUAACACAGGAAAUUUUCUGCAUGGCUAUAUGUAGAUUUGAAUUUGACGAAGAGACGAAAAGACGAAGAUUGCUCAGAAAGGAAGACAGAUUCAUUGGGUUUUGUUGGGUAUAUCAUCAGGUAAAAAAGCUUCUUUGGCAGAAGAAGAUGAAUUCAAAGCAGAGAUUUCAGGGGUGUCUCGUGAAUUCUUGUUUCUAAAGUGUAGAGAGAGAGUUGAGAGAGAGAGAGAGAGUUUUUUGCCAAAGGAAUCAUUGAAUGCUGUGAUUUUAGUAGAGCCACAUACUCAAAAGUUGAGCACUAUAUGCUAUAUACCACAUUUGUGAGUUUGGAAAUUUUAAAAAUGGGGGAAUAUUAUUCUUAAUUUUAUUUAUUUUAUUUUCUUUGGCUGAAAUUGUACGAAGUCUCAGCAAAUGGGAACAACCAUAAGCGGCUUGCUGGUUUCACGAAUAAAGUUACAACGACGACUUUAGUUGAA